CUGGCUGGAGGUACAGCAACAUCACCUGGCUGCAAGGCUACAUGGAACACACUGGAGAAAACCCAGAGCUUCUCAACAUUGGAUGACUGAGUUUCUGGAUCAGAGACUUUUUUUAGAUUUGUGUAGAGCUGGCGAAGCAACGGAGGAGACUACUCUGUCAGUAGGUCCAGUCCCAAGGGGUGAAGAUAACUGCUUUGGGACCCUAGAAGGAAGAAGAGAUGUGGAUGAGAUUACAUCUCCAGCAGGGGUGAAUCCAUCCUGACCCUGAUGGCCCAGGCUAAAAAGCCCAGCUAGAGAAGAGGGGUGGAGGCUGAGAAGGUCGCAGCCCCAACAAGAGAAUGAUGGUACAAUGACAUUUGCGAGGCAUAGACAUAGUGUAAAGGGGAGGUUGGUGUCAUGUAAUUAGUCCUUAAGGUUAUGGGUACUCCUGGAGAAGGACGGGCCAAGAGAGACCAUCCAUCUCAAAAGGCAGGAUUGAGACUGGUAGACAGGAGGGACCUGCUAGCUAUUUGACAGAUUGAGGCUUACUCUAGGGCCCUUAGGCAGCCUCCCUUUCAAUCCAAUAUGCAUAUUGAGGCAUGGUGGGUGAGAAGGAGGGGAGGUUACCCUUAAGGCAGAGUGGGACAUGGAUUAUGGUGUUUCCAGGGGGGAUGUUCCAACCACCCUGGAGUGCAACAGUUACAGCAACUCAGUGUUUCCAUAUACAUUGCAUAGGCUUUUGCACCUUGGAGACAUCAUUUCAGUUUCACUUUAUGUUUCAAGCAAGGAUUUAGCAUGGGAGGCAGCAGUUAAGAGUUAUAAUGGUACCAGUUGGACCUCAUCAUCACUAGGCAGUCCAAUCUCAGUAAUGUCCUCCUUUCAUAGCUGAUUGCAACACUGAUCACUCACUUGUGGUCACUAAGAUCAAACUGAACCAAAGAAAACCUUUGGCUUUAAGUAUCAGUGUUUGCUGCACAUUACCAGCAUCAUCACCAAUACAUCUUAUCAUGAGAAAAUCUUGCAGUUUAUAGAGGCUCUAGAAGUUGCUGCUUCAAAGAGACUGCAGAAGAGAAGUGGGGAAGCCUCAAAAAACCCAAAAACAAACAAAAAAGGGUCUCUGUCACCACUAGCUCCAUAUUUGGCAAGCAGGUCUGAAGAAACCUGGAUUGGAUCACAGGAAUUGAUUCCAUUUAUUAAUUCCAAACAAACUGCUAUUUUAAAUCACAAGAAGAAUGCCUCAGAUGGAACUUCGAAGGAACUGAGGAAAACAUGGAAUGCUGUCCAACAAAUCUCAAGAUGCUGCACCAAUGAUUAUUGGCUGCAAGAAUGCAAGGAAAUUUAAUCCCUAUUUGACACUAGAAACAUUAGAAGCAUGCAUGAUGGAAUCAAGAAGGCAAUAGGUCCAACUACAAAGAAGUUGGUUCUGUUAAAAAGUAUCAGGAAAAGUCAUAACAGAUUGAAAGCAGCAGUUGGAAAGAUGGGUAGAACGUUAUCUUGAACUCUGUUCAAGGGAAAAUUAUGUCACUGACACAGCCCUUAAUUUCAUUGAGAUGCUGUUUGUCCUUGAAGAGUUCAACAAUAUUUUAGCUGUUGAGGAUGUAAGUAAGGCCAUAGACAAUCAGACCGUUGGCAAGGCCCCUGGAAAAUUAUUGCAUUCCUGUGGAAGUGAUCUAGUAUGGGAAAUCUGUGCUUCUCCACCUACACGAGCUUCUUACUCACUGCUGGACAUUCAGGACAGUACCACAAGCUAUUUGAGAUGCCAAAAUAGUCACUCUGAAUGGGAAUAAAAGUGACUACAGUGACUGUAACAACUAUUGUGGAAUUUUACUACUAAAUAUUGUUGGAAAGAUCAUUGUUUAGGUAGUGCUCAGAAGUGCUCAGAUCUUGACUCACUUUUUACCCUGAUUUACAGUGUGGUUUCAGAGCUAGUAGAUCCACCAUAGAUAAGAUCUUCUCACUCUGACAAAUCCAAGAAAAUGUAGGGAACAAAGGAGAACCCUUUACAUUGCUUUCAUUGACCUGACUAAGGCCUUUGAUUUUGUUAGCCGAGAAGUUCUCUUCCAAUUACCAGAAAAGAUUGUUCUAUCUACCACAACUCCUCAACAUAAUCCAUUUUUCUUAUGUUGCAAUGCAGGAAACAGUCAGCUAUGGUGGAUCCAUGUCAAGCUUUUGAGACCUGAAGUGUAUUCAAUCAGAACUGUGUCCUUACCCCAAUCCUGUUUGGGAUUUUUUUUUCCUCCUUCUUUCAACAUAAGCUUUUGGAACCACCACUGAAGAAAUGUAUCUACAUGCACACUCAGAUGGAAAAUUAUUCAACCUCUCUUGUAUGGGGAACUCUUCACAGGAAGAAGACCACGUGGGCAACCUUGUUUCUGGUUCAGAGAUGGUUGCAAGAGAGAUAUGAAAGCAAUGAACAUCAAGCCAAAUGACUGGGUGAAGAUUGUUGAGUUUUGAAGUGCUUGGAAACAGUUUAUUAAGCAUGGAAUUAAAGUUUUGGAGGAAAGAAUAGCCUACAUGAAGAGGAAAGAGGAAACCUUGGGAGAACCUACAUUCAGAAUUGUUUGCACCACAGUCAGAAUUGUUUGAUAUAACUUCAAAUACAGGAAACCCUUGCCAUUUGUGUGGAAUAGGUUCCAGAGAUCCCUCUGAAUGGCGAAAUCUGCGAAUCCGUCAGGAGCAUGGCGGCAGUGGCGGGAGCGUGGGGCCUGGUGGAGGCAAGCUCAGAGCUCUCACAGACACUGCUGGAACUGUUAGCAGCAGGAAGGGGGCGGGGAGCAUAGUGGGAGCAUACGGGGAGAAAGCAUGCAUAGGAGAGAGCGUGGGUUUGAAUAUUCGAAACCGCGAAUGGUGAAUUCAUGAAUGGCAAGGGCUUCCUGUAUGAGAAAUGUGGAAGAGUCUGUCACACAAGCGUUAGGCUCUACAGCCACACUUACAGAUGUACAGUGAGUUGAUGCCUCACUCAGCACAAUUCUAUUGUCCUGUGAGACAGAUGCCAAUUACUACUAGUGUAGCUUUGCUUGAUAUAACAAGUGGCAGUACAAGAAUGAGCCAUAUGUCAGAACUUCAGUUAAAUCCUUUUAGAUUCAUGCGCCUCUCUUGUUAGUACAUAGCAUGUUAUAGUGCCUCAUUUUAAUUUAACACAGUUAUUGAAAACAAAGCAUAGUGCAAAUAAACUGUGAACAUAAAGAUACAUAUUAACAAAUUAGAUAAUGUUUAUAGAGUACUCUGAAAAUGCAUGAGGCUUUAUUGGUAUUGCAUGUUAUUAACUUGAAAUAAUUAAAACAUAAAAU